rnacentral:lncRNA from 1 species
UGGAUCAAAAGUAAUGGUAUGAUAAAGUUUUUACCUACGGCAGCAGUUAUUGUAACCGCUGUGGUAGGUGUAACCUAUCGCAGCGGUUCAAAAUAACUGCUAGGUAGAUCUACGAUAAUGGUUAUAAUAAUCACUAUCGUAGAUCCGAUCUACGAUGGCAGUUAUUUGUAACUACUACGGUAGGUAAAACCUACGGUAACAAUUAUAGUAACUAUUGCCGUAGGUCCGAUCUACAGCAGUCAUUAUAUUAACCGCUGCCAUCAGUCAGACCUACGGCAACAGUUAUGAAUAGCUAUUGCCGUAGGUUCUAUAAUAGCAAUUUUCGAAAUCGCUGUCGUGUAAGCGCUGCCAUAGCCCCUUUUUAUAGUAGUGACCAACGAGUUCGGCAUCAGCAACAGUCCAUCUUUCUCUCGAUGGAUCCUCCCAGUUAGUUCAAGAUGAAGCAGAUGGAGUCAUAUAAUGGCUCCACCGAGCCACUCAACCAAGUUGAAAGCUACAAAGCUCUCAUGCUUUUGUAGAGGGAGUCCAACACCUUUCUUUGUAUCAUCUUUCCGGUUACUCUCCAAAAAAUUGCGUGAGCAUGGUACUCCGGACUACAAUCGAGGAGCAUCAACUCAUUCGAGCAAUUCGAAUAACUUUUUGUGGCACACUUUGGUACCAAUCGGAUAGUGCCGUGAACCACCGACAGUCUUUUCUCCAUCAGGGAGUAGGAUGGAGAAUCUCUACGAAACUUCGUGGUGUGUUUCGACACUGCCACCCUGGAGGUCAAGGAUCUCGACGAAUUGAUAGCUAUCGCAGCCAUAAAGUGGGGAUUGCAUAGCUCCAGAUUCACUUAUUCCCUGAUAAAAUACUUCUUCGAUCCUACACCGAACUCCUCGAGUGCGUGCAGAAAUACAUCCACACCGAGGAAGGUACGAAUGACCAAUGCCAAUUUGAGGAUAAAAGUCAGAAGAAGAAGAAGAUGAAGGAACCUCUGCAGGGCCCAGUCAGAUCCGCACCGAGAAGGAGGCUCCACCUUUCUGACCAAAACUAAAGCCCAAAAAUUUUGAUAAUAGGUACAAUUGCAACACUCCUCUAACCACUCCUCAUGC